rnacentral:piRNA from 1 species
UAUUCAAUUACUGACAACGAA